UUUUGUCAUCUUUUUAACUCACCUGGCCCAAAGGGUCAAGUGAGCUUUUCCCAUCACUUGGCGUCCGUCGUCCGUCGUCCGUCGUCUGUCGUCCGUCGUCGUCCGGCGUCGUUAACUUUUACAAAAAUCUUCUCCUCUGAAACUACUGGGCCAAAUUACACCAAACUUGGCCAAAAUCAUCAUUGGGGUAUCUAGUUUAAAAAAUGUGUCCGGUGACCCGGCCAACCAUCCAAGAUGGCCGCCAUGGCUAAAAAUAGAACAUAGGGGUAAAAUGCAGUUUUUGGCUUAUAACUCAAAAA
rnacentral:lncRNA from 1 species